CUUUGCUCUUCACUGUAUCUCCAGAGUCUAGCUGAUCCUGAUCCACUGGAGGCCUCAAAAUAUACA
rnacentral:lncRNA from 1 species